CAAAAAUGAAAUAAAAGCUUAAAAAAAAGGGAGAAACUACACAACCAACCAGACUGUACGGUAUCUGAAGGGCGAGAAGAGAGAGAGGGGCGUGACCAGAGGGCUCAAUCACUGUCGAAGCAUCUUCGUUGAAAUCUCGCCUUCGAUCGGAUUCUCUGGUGUUUCUAGAUCAUUCCGGCAAGGUUUCUGAAGCCUUCGUCGAUCCUCCGGCGUUCCACGGCCUCUGACAUUUUGUCAUUAUUAUUUUCAGCACAGUAGGUGAAGUCAUUGUAGAAGAAUCCCUAGAGAGGUUUUCAAUGGAUAUGUACGGACGCAAUCAGGCGACGAAUGGGUCUCAAUCUGGUCAAGCACCCGAAUGGAGCUCCGGAGGUAACGAGACGGGCCUCGAAGAAUCGAUGUGGCGAUUAGGGUUGAGCAAUAGCGAGACGUACCCAGAGCGACCUGGAGUGCCUGAUUGUGCGUACUACAUGCGAACCGGCAUCUGUGGAUAUGGUAGUAGGUGCCGUUACAAUCAUCCCCGCGACCGUGCUAUGGUUGAGGCAGCAGUUAGAGCUACAGGAGAUUACCCAGAACGAGUAGGUGAACCCCCAUGUCAGUUCUAUUUGAAAACUGGAACCUGUAAAUUUGGGGCAUCAUGCAAAUUCCACCAUCCAAAAAAUGCAGGUGGAUCCAUGAGCCAAGUUCCUCUAAAUAUACAUGGAUAUCCACUACGAGAGGGUGAGAAAGAAUGCUCCCACUAUUUGAAAACGGGGCAGUGCAAAUUUGGUGUGACCUGUAAAUUCCACCAUCCUCAACCUGCUGGCACGACAGCUCCAGCAUCUGCACCGCAGUUUUAUCCGUCGGUGCAUUCUCCUAUACCUGACCAGUAUGGAGGCCCGUCCUCUAGUUUGAGAGUAGCUAGACCUCCUCUUUUACCCGGUUCGUAUAUGCAAGGGGCUUAUGGUCCCAUGCUCUUAACCCCAGGCGUUGUCCCAAUUCCUGGCUGGAGUCCUUACUCGGCUCCGAUGAGUCCUGUUUUAUCUCCUGGUGCACAACAUGCGGUUGGAGCAACAUCUUUGUAUGGAGUCACACAGCUCUCUUCUUCCACGCCUUCGGUUGCUGGGGUUUAUCAGUCUUUGUCCUCUUCAACAGCUCCGUCUGCUGCUGGCAAUCAGAAAGAACAAAUCUUUCCUGAAAGACCCGGAGAACCUGAAUGUCAGUACUAUUUGAGAACAGGGGAUUGUAAAUUUGGAUUAUCUUGUAAGUUCCAUCAUCCUCGAGACAGGGUUCCGCCAAGAGCAAAUUGCAUUCUCAGCCCAAUUGGUCUCCCGUUGCGCCCGGGUGUGCAGCCAUGCACGUUUUACCUGCAAAACGGCUUCUGUAGGUUCGGAUCCACAUGCAAGUUUGAUCAUCCAAUGGGAACCCUCAGCUACAAUCCAUCGGCAUCCUCUCUGGUGGAUGCGCCAGUGGCUCCCUCCUAUCCCAUUGGCUCUCUCCUGGGUGCACUUGCUCCUUCAUCCUCGGAACUUAGGCCUGAACUCAUCUCUGGCUCUCAGAAGGACGCGUAUUUGACCGGCCUAUCUUCCUCAAGAAGCACAUCCAGCAUCUCUGCUGGUUUGAUUUUCUCCCAGAGCGGCUCUCUUCCAUUUCCGGAUAUGCAACUCCCAAGCCAGACUACUGCUCUUCCUUUAAGCAGCGGCAGCAGAAUCACAAGGCAAGGCCGUGAGAUUCGGCGCUCAUUUUAACAUAAUCUCAAGGGUACGCCUCAAAAUCGUCUUUUCAAUUGUUAUCUAUAUACUUGCUCUUGAAUUUAUGACCAAAGUGGUACUUCAAAGGUUUGGCAAAAGCCUAUUACUAAGACCUGAAGGAGGCCGGCCAAAUGACAUGGAAAAGGAAAAUAAUGUAAUGUGCAUACCAUCAGCAUAGCGAUAAAAGCGGAACCUGUGUAUACGUUUAUAGAGACAGAUAAGCUCAUCGUCCCUACAUCCAGACCAUUGCUGCUGAAAGAACCGAUCAAGUUCCUUGGAGAUUUAUCUUUUUUUUAUGUGAAGGAUCAUGUCUCGAUGAAGAUGGAAUUUGUAAAGCGGAGCGGGCGAGGGCUGUUCAGGACGCUGUCGAAGGGACUGAUCGUGUUCACGUUUAGAAGACGUCUGAUUCGGACAGAAGGUUCAUGUUUCAGAAGCGAAGGUUUCAUUCCGUUUCUUGAGCUUUAAACAAUUUGGUUUUUGGGAGUGCGAUUAAAAUGUAAAAGUUUGAGUGAGUGCCCAUUUCUGCAAUCACAAACUCACUAUGCAGUUUCUGCCCUUCUUCUUGUUCAUCGUUUCCAAGGAAUAAGAAUAUUCUUGAGAAUGUAAUAGACACAGAUGUAUAUAAGGAUGUGAUCUUUAGAAUAGUAAAAUAAGACGGACAGGUUCUGGGAAUUCGACAUACAUAUCAAGAAUUUUUCAAUAACAAAUUCGAUAAAUAUAGUAUAAUCUUGAAGAAAUCUCAAUGACGAAAUCUAUUCCGUGAUGACGUCCGCCACGAUGGAGUUAUAGUGUUCGCCAAGCCCG